AGAAACUGCAAAGCUUCAUUCUUAUGGUGGCUCACAAUAGGGGAAUCUAGUCCAAUUCUCAAAAUCUUAAUUAGGAAGUAUUUUUGAAAUUACCAAAGGCAUUAAAAAGAAAACUGGAGACUGCCUUGGAAUAUAUCAGAAGCUAUAGGCCACUAGAGAGGCAUCAGGACAUUUAAGUUAAAAAGGUAUAAGAUGAAGCACUUAGAGAAUACUGUGAAGUUGUUGAGAAAUUAGAAAUGUGUUCAUUUCCCAGUAAGCUAGAAGAACUCGACACAGCUCCCCCUGCUUUUUUGGCAUUUUCUGGAGAAAGGAAACCGAUGCCAAGCUUAUCAGAAGUUAUUUCAAAAGGAGUCUGAUAAAGAUAAGGUGUG